rnacentral:rRNA from 1 species
AGAGUUUGAUCCUGGCUCAGAAUCAACGCUGGCGGCGCGCUUAACACAUGCAAGUCGAACGGGAAAGUGGAGCAAUCCAUGAGUACAGUGGCGUACGGGUGAGUAACACGUGGGUAAUCUACCUCUUAGUGGGGAAUAACCCUGGGAAACCGGGGCUAAUACCGCAUAAGCCUGAGAAGGGAAAGCAGCAAUGCGCUGAGAGAGGAGCCCGCGGCCGAUUAGCUAGUUGGUAGGGUAAAGGCCUACCAAGGCAGAGAUCGGUAGCCGGCCUGAGAGGGCACACGGCCACACUGGCACUGAAACACGGGCCAGACUCCUACGGGAGGCAGCAGUGGGGAAUCUUGCACAAUGGGGGCAACCCUGAUGCAGCGACGCCGCGUGAGCGAUGAAGCCCUUCGGGGUGUAAAGCUCUUUCGUCAGGGAAGAUCAUGACGGUACCUGGAGAAGCAGCUGCGGCUAACUACGUGCCAGCAGCCGCGGUAAUACGUAGGCAGCGAGCGUUGUUCGGAGUUACUGGGCGUAAAGGGUGUGUAGGCGGUUCUUUAAGUUUGGUGUGAAAUCUCCCGGCUCAACCGGGAGGGUGCGCCGAAUACUGAGGGACUAGAGUGCGGGAGAGGAAAGUGGAAUUCCUGGUGUAGCGGUGAAAUGCGUAGAUAUCAGGAGGAACACCGGUGGUGUAGACGGCUUUCUGGACCGUAACUGACGCUGAGACACGAAAGCGUGGGUAGCAAACAGGAUUAGAUACCCUAGUAGUCC